GACGUAGGGCGCGAGCGUUGUCCGGAUUUAUUGGGCGUAAAGAGCUCGUAGGCGGCUUGUCGCGUCGACUGUGAAAUCCCGCGGCUCAACUGCGGGUCUGCAGUCGAUACGGGCAGGCUAGAGUUCGGUAGGGGAGACUGGAAUUCCUGGUGUAGCGGUGAAAUGCGCAGAUAUCAGGAGGAACACCUAUGGCGAAGGCAGCACUCUGGUACAUGAUUGACGCUGAGACGCGAAAGCGUGGGGAGCAAACAGG
rnacentral:rRNA from 1 species